rnacentral:rRNA from 1 species
CAUAGGUUAAUGAGGCGAACCGGGGGAACUGAAACAUCUAAGUACCCCGAGGAAAAGAAAUCAACCGAGAUUCCCCCAGUAGCGGCGAGCGAACGGGGAGCAGCCCAGAGCCUGAAUCAGUGUGUGUGUUAGUGGAAGCGUCUGGAAAGGCGCGCGAUACAGGGUGACAGCCCCGUACACAAAAAUGCACAUGCUGUGAGCUCGAUGAGUAGGGCGGGACACGUGGUAUCCUGUCUGAAUAUGGGGGGACCAUCCUCCAAGGCUAAAUACUCCUGACUGACCGAUAGUGAACCAGUACCGUGAGGGAAAGGCGAAAAGAACCCCGGCGAGGGGAGUGAAAAAGAACCUGAAACCGUGUACGUACAAGCAGUGGGAGCACGCUUAGGCGUGUGACUGCGUACCUUUUGUAUAAUGGGUCAGCGACUUAUAUUCUGUAGCAAGGUUAACCGAAUAGGGGAGCCGAAGGGAAACCGAGUCUUAACUGGGCGUUAAGUUGCAGGGUAUAGACCCGAAACCCGGUGAUCUAGCCAUGGGCAGGUUGAAGGUUGGGUAACACUAACUGGAGGACCGAACCGACUAAUGUUGAAAAAUUAGCGGAUGACUUGUGGCUGGGGGUGAAAGGCCAAUCAAACCGGGAGAUAGCUGGUUCUCCCCGAAAGCUAUUUAGGUAGCGCCUCGUGAAUUCAUCUCCGGGGGUAGAGCACUGUUUCGGCAAGGGGGUCAUCCCGACUUACCAACCCGAUGCAAACUGCGAAUACCGGAGAAUGUUAUCACGGGAGACACACGGCGGGUGCUAACGUCCGUCGUGAAGAGGGAAACAACCCAGACCGCCAGCUAAGGUCCCAAAGUCAUGGUUAAGUGGGAAACGAUGUGGGAAGGCCCAGACAGCCAGGAUGUUGGCUUAGAAGCAGCCAUCAUUUAAAGAAAGCGUAAUAGCUCACUGGUCGAGUCGGCCUGCGCGGAAGAUGUAACGGGGCUAAACCAUGCACCGAAGCUGCGGCAGCGACGCUUAUGCGUUGUUGGGUAGGGGAGCGUUCUGUAAGCCUGCGAAGGUGUGCUGUGAGGCAUGCUGGAGGUAUCAGAAGUGCGAAUGCUGACAUAAGUAACGAUAAAGCGGGUGAAAAGCCCGCUCGCCGGAAGACCAAGGGUUCCUGUCCAACGUUAAUCGGGGCAGGGUGAGUCGACCCCUAAGGCGAGGCCGAAAGGCGUAGUCGAUGGGAAACAGGUUAAUAUUCCUGUACUUGGUGUUACUGCGAAGGGGGGACGGAGAAGGCUAUGUUGGCCGGGCGACGGUUGUCCCGGUUUAAGCGUGUAGGCUGGUUUUCCAGGCAAAUCCGGAAAAUCAAGGCUGAGGCGUGAUGACGAGG